rnacentral:rRNA from 1 species
CCUACGGGAGGCAGCAGUGAGGAAUAUUGGUCAAUGGCCGGAAGGCUGAACCAGCCAUGCCGCGUGAAGGUCAGUGCCCUAUGGGCGUUAAACUUCUUUUGUGCGGGAGCAAUAAUGGUCACGUGUGGCCAGACGAGAGUACCGUACGAAUAAGCAUCGGCUAACUCAGUGCCAGCAGCCGCGGUAAUACGGGGGGUGCAAGCGUUAUCCGGAUUUAUUGGGUUUAAAGGGUGCGUAAGCUGUGAGGUAAAUCAGCGGUGAAAUGCCCCCGCUCAACGGGGUGAAGUGCCAUUGAUACUGCCUAGCUGGAAUGCGGAUGCGGUGAGAGGAAUGUGUGGUGUAGCGGUGAAAUGCAUAGAUAUCACACAGAACACCGAUUGCGAAGGCAUCUCACGAAUCCGCGAUUGACGCUGAUGCACGAAAGCGUGGGUAUCAAACAGGAUUAGAUACCCUUGUAGUC